GCCGACUUGUUCUUAUUCAUUUUCAUUUCUCUCGGGAAAGACUUCUGAUGGAAGUGGUAUGGUUCUUUGGUUCUUAAAUAUUAUCGGAUCCCAAAAUAGAAAAAAAUUAUGGUCAAGCAAAUGACGAUAAAAUAAUAAUUCAGAGUUCAGAUUUUCCCUUUUGUGGUUAAUUUUAAAGACAGAAAUAAUCGUGUCAUUGGCUCGACAUUUUGGUAUGAAAAAGAAAUGAAACAAAGUACAAAAAAUGUAUGCUGAAAAUGGGAAUCAAAUUUAAUUGGACUGCUUUAUUUAUUUUUUCAAUCCAGAUCUCCACCCCUAAAAGUUGAUGUCACACUCCUCCUCUAUAUGAAAACUAACACAUUCAGAUUUACAUAUAUGAAGUUGGGAGGGGAAACCUACAUUCAAAAUAAUAUAUAUCCAAAGUAACAGAAGUUUGCUGAACAUUGCUCUUCAAAGGCUUUUCCAAAAACACUACAACCAUGGAUUUUAAGUUGCGAUAUGAAAAGAUCACACUCUACCAUCUACCAGUUAUACAUACA
rnacentral:lncRNA from 1 species